UACAGAGGUCUCGAGCGUUGUUCGGAUUCAUUGGGCGUAAAGGGUGCGUAGGUGGUCUGGUAAGUCGGAUGUGAAAUCCCGGAGCUUAACUUCGGAACUGCAUUCGAUACUGCCGGACUGGAGUACUGGAGAGGAGAUCGGAAUUUACGGUGUAGCAGUGAAAUGCGUAGAUAUCGUAAGGAAGACCAGUGGCGAAGGCGGAUCUCUGGACAGUUACUGACACUGAGGCACGAAGGCCAGGGAGCAAACGGG
rnacentral:rRNA from 1 species